CGCAGCCCUGUCAAAUUCGGUCCUUGCCUCCUCCGUGGCAGGGACUGGCCAACCGGCUGCUACAGCAACUUCUGUCGUCUGUGAGACCCUGCGUCCCCUUCCCGUGGGAUGCCCCGGGGGAUAAAAUCACACCACGGACAUCG
rnacentral:snoRNA from 1 species